rnacentral:rRNA from 1 species
CGGUAAUACGUAGGGUGCGAGCGUUAAUCGGAAUUACUGGGCGUGGCAAGUGCGCAGGCGGAUUGUUAAGCAAGAUGUGAGAUCCCCGGGCUUAACCUGGGAAUGGCAUUUUGAACUGGCAGUCUAGAGUGUGUCAGAGGGGGGUGGAAUUCCACGUGUAGCAGUGAAAUGCGCUAGCGUGUGGAGGAACACCAAUGGCGAAGGCAGCCCCCUGGGAUAACACUGACGCUCAUGUACGAAAGCGUGGGUAGCGAACGAAGCCGACAUUUGUGGUAGUCCACGCCCUAAACGAUGUCAACUGGUUGUUGGGGGAGUGAAAUCCCUUAGUAACGAAGCUAACGCGUGAAGUUGACCGCCUGGGGAGUACGGUCGCAAGAUUAAA